CUUGUGAUGCCAUGACCUUUUAGUCUUUAGCACAUCAAAGACAUCUAAAGGCGUCGUUAUCUUUUCUUCAUCAUUCAGCACACGCCAAUUUGAAAGUUUUUGUUAAAGAAAAAGGUAAACCGAUCUGUGACAGUCUGACAGAGUAUCCUGAUUCCCUAAUUCGGUCUAGCAAACUGGGAAAAUUGCUCAGUCUCUACUCUCUAGCCACCAUGGAUGCCACCACAAUGGCUCUCAAGACCUAGUUCUAGUUCUUUCUUGAUUGCAACCGGGAAGAUCAUAUAUUAUGCUAUAUAAAAACUGCUUCAAGUAGGAAAAGGAAGAUUAUGUGAAGGAAAGCAUACGAGGAUGUACAAUACAAUAAGGAACUGCAACAAAGCCAAAGCAAAAUGAGAGAGACGUUAACCAAGUGAUAUAUUCUGAUGUUGCACUCAUUGCUAUACCGAGAGAAACAAGGAAUUAAUUACUAAUGCAGGAACGCCCAUGUUCAAUACGACGGCGUAUCGCACUCGGUUUUAUGACAUGGCACAGUUUGGUAAAAAAGUACAGUACAAGAGUACAACCGAACUAAAGUGUUUUGAAGGGGACAUAAUAAGUGCCACCUCUAGAUAUCCUAUGUAUAAGUACAACUAAAAGUGUUUUGUUUUCUUUUUAUUUUAAUUUUAGGACACUGAUAUCACCCACCUCUCUAGCUAUCCUAUGUACAGCUCAACCGAACUGGAAAACACUUGUUGUUUC